rnacentral:rRNA from 1 species
UACGUAGGGGGCAAGCGUUGUCCGGAAUCAUUGGGCGUAAAGAGCGUGUAGGCGGUCCGGUAAGUCGGCUGUGAAAGUCCAGGGCUCAACCCUGGGAUGCCGGUCGAUACUGCCGGACUAGAGUUCGGAAGAGGCGAGUGGAAUUCCCGGUGUAGCGGUGAAAUGCGCAGAUACCGGGAGGAACACCUAUGGCGAAGGCAGCUCGCUGGGACGUUACUGACGCUGAGACGCGAAAGCGUGGGGAGCAAACAGG